AGGGCUUCACCGAAUGGAUGAACGGGAAACAAUGUACACUGGCUCAGUUUUAAGCUUAAUUCAGUUGGUUAUGAAGAUGGCAACAGGCACCAGGGUUGAUCAGGGGGAAGGAGCGAAAAAAGGCAAAUUGCGUGUCUAAAACAAGUGUGACUUUAGAGAGGGGGCGCUUCUGUUUGUGCAACAAGUAGAACUUCAUAUGCUAAGUGAAGCCUCAGAGAGAAAAGAAGCCAGCUCAGCCGGGAAUUUCAUUUAAGAGCAGUACUCACUUCAUGGGAAAGACUGGAAUCCUCAGUCAGAGGAAGAAGGAAGAGUGAAAGUGUUGCAAACAUGUGCCUUAAUCUAACUAGCAAAUCAUUUGCCUAAGAUGCAAAGACAAAUGCUUCACUUCUGUGCAGAAACCUAAGGUGCAGGUUAUUGCUGUCACUUUUUAACAGAGAUUCAGGGGUUUCUUCUCAAAUUCUAAAAAGAGGAAAGAAAUUUGAAUGAUAUCGUGCUUGCCUCUCAGCCCACCACUCAAACGCAAGGCUGAAAAUUAUUUUUUUGUUUUAUUUGUUUUGAGCAUUUGUGCUUCAUUCUUUAGCCAAAAAGGCUUCCAGAAUGGCUUACAUACAAUCAGUUAAAGUGAGACAGUCCUUGACUGCAGGCUAAUGAUCUUUAAAAUAAUUUUUAAAAAGACACGCAAGGGAAAAGGGGAAAGGAGGGAAGAGGAAAAAACAAAAACAACUCAGGCACCAAUUCUUAAACAGUUGUUCUUACAGUGACCAGCAGCCUCAGUUCAGGGUAGGUGGUGCCUGGUGUAUCUGGUCUUUCAGUAAAGUUAAUGGAAUGAGCUCUGCUUCCAUUUUCAUGUGUCGUUCCUGAAAGAGACACUCUCAUCCUGGGUGACCUUUAUUUCUCUCCUGUCUUCCAUCCAGAUACGCUAUUUGAUGCAGGAAAUCAUAAGAACCUCUUAGAUCAGAAAUGGGGAACCUCAGACUAGAAGGCAAAGUGGGAGGCUCCUCAGGCCUCUCUAUGUAGCCCUUGAGACUCUUCCAGCUCCCCACCACUCACUGGUUUGGCUUCAGACCCUCACUGAAUGCUUUUGCCUGGCUGGAAUGUGUUCUUGAACACACACUCUCUGAAAAAUGCC